AAUGAAUAAUUGUGUAACACUUCAUGGAAGUUUGGUUAGAUCCCAAUACGGUCCCGCCACUGUAAACAGCAUUAGCUGGAGUCAGGUCUUUGAAGGUUAUUACUAUCUUAUUUAAGCUUUUUCGUGGAGAAAGAGGCUUAAAUUGU
rnacentral:sRNA from 2 species